GAGGAAAGCGGGGGGCGUGCCUAAUACAUGCAAGUCGAGCGAACAGAUGAGGAGCUUGCUCCUCUGACGUUAGCGGCGGACGGGUGAGUAACACGUGGAUAACCUACCUAUAAGACUGGGAUAACUUCGGGAAACCGGAGCUAAUACCGGAUAAUAUAUUGAACCGCAUGGUUCAAUAGUGAAAGACGGUUUUGCUGUCACUUAUAGAUGGAUCCGCGCCGCAUUAGCUAGUUGGUAAGGUAACGGCUUACCAAGGCAACGAUGCGUAGCCGACCUGAGAGGGUGAUCGGCCACACUGGAACUGAGACACGGUCCAGACUCCUACGGGAGGCAGCAGUAGGGAAUCUUCCGCAAUGGGCGAAAGCUUGACGGAGCAACGCCGCGUGAGUGAUGAAGGUCUUCGGAUCGUAAAACUCUGUUAUUAGGGAAGAACAAAUGUGUAAGUAACUAUGCACGUCUUGACGGUACCUAAUCAGAAAGCCACGGCUAACUACGUG
rnacentral:rRNA from 1 species